rnacentral:tRNA from 1 species
UGCUUCAUGGGUAGCCAGGAGUGCCCGCUGGGCUCAUAACCCGGAGACCGGUGGUUCAAAUCCACCCCUCGCUA